AGAGUUUGAUCAUGGCUCAGGACGAACGCUGGCGGCGUGCCUAAUACAUGCAAGUCGAACGAGACUUUCUUCGGUGGUAACACCUUUGAUUGUCUAGUGGCGAACGGGUGAGUAACACGUGAGAAACCUGCCCUGAAGACGGGGAUAACAGGAGGAAACUUCUGCUAAUACCCGAUACCCCCACCGGAUCGCAUGGUCUGGUGAGGAAAUGGAUUCCGCUUCAGGAGGGUCUCGCGGCCUAUCAGCUUGUUGGUGAGGUAACGGCUUACCAAGGCUUGGACGGGUAGCUGGUCUGAGAGGACGAUCAGCCACACUGGGACUGAGACACGGCCCAGACUCCUACGGGAGGCAGCAGUAAGGAAUAUUGCGCAAUGGGCGAAAGCCUGACGCAGCAACGCCGCGUGCGGGAUGAAGGCCCUCGGGUUGUAAACCGCUUUCAGUAGGGAAGAAAAUGACGGUACCUACAGAAGAAGCCCCGGCCAACUACGUGCCAGCAGCCGCGGUA
rnacentral:rRNA from 1 species